rnacentral:rRNA from 1 species
UGGGGAAUAUUGGACAAUGGGCGCAAGCCUGAUCCAGCCAUGCCGCGUGAGUGACGAAGGCCUUAGGGUUGUAAAGCUCUUUUUGGCGGGGAAGAUAAUGACGGUACCCGCAGAAUAAGCUCCGGCUAACUUCGUGCCAGCAGCCGCGGUAAUACGAAGGGAGCUAGCGUUGUUCGGAAUCACUGGGCGUAAAGCGCACGUAGGCGGAUAGUUAAGUCAGGGGUGAAAUCCUGGGGCUCAACCCCAGAACUGCCUUUGAUACUGGCUGUCUCGAGGUCGAGAGAGGGUGGUGGAAUUCCUGGUGUAGAGGUGAAAUUCGUAGAUAUCAGGAAGAACAUCAGUGGCGAAGGCGACCACCUGGACGAUGACUGACGCUGAGGCGCGAAAGCGUGGGUAGCAAACAGGAUUAGAUACCCGUGUAGUCCCUGAGCGGGCUGGCAAGGCGCAU